GAUGAACGCUGGCGGCGUGCCUAAUACAUGCAAGUCGAGCGAACAGACGAGGAGCUUGCUCCUCUGACGUUAGCGGCGGACGGGUGAGUAACACGUGGAUAACCUACCUAUAAGACUGGGAUAACUUCGGGAAACCGGAGCUAAUACCGGAUAAUAUAUUGAACCGCAUGGUUCAAUAGUGAAAGACGGUUUUGCUGUCACUUAUAGAUGGAUCCGCGCCGCAUUAGCUAGUUGGUAAGGUAACGGCUUACCAAGGCAACGAUGCGUAGCCGACCUGAGAGCGUGAGCGACCACACUGGAGCAGAGCCGCGGUCAAGAGUACAACGGUGGGCAGGAGUAGGGGAGUGAGCGAUAUGGGCUCAAGCCUGAAAGAACAAUGUCGAGUGAGAGAAAAAAAUCUUAAGAUCGUAAAACACGGUUAGUAGGGAAGAAAAAAUGUGGAAGGGACAAUCCACGUCGAGACGGCACCGAAACAGAAAGGCAAGGCGCGUUACGUG
rnacentral:rRNA from 1 species